UACGUAGGGAGCGAGCGUUAUCCGGAUUUAUUGGGCGUAAAGCGUGCGUAGGCGGUUUAUUAAGUUCAAGAUUAAAGCCUGAGGCUUAACCUCAGUUCGUUUUGAAAACUGGUAGACUUGAGUAUGGUAGAGGCAAACGGAAUUUCUAGUGUAGCGGUAAAAUGCGUAGAUAUUAGAAGGAACACCAGUGGCGAAAGCGGUUUGCUGGGCCAUUACUGACGCUGAGGCACGAAAGCGUGGGGAGCAAAUAGG
rnacentral:rRNA from 1 species